rnacentral:lncRNA from 1 species
AGUGGCCUCAACUUCUCCUCUUCAGACAUGCAGAAUCUUCAGUACGAUGGCAGUGAGUGGCCAAAGCACAGCUGCUGGUAUGUACAUGGUGACUAAAGCCUUGUGAGAUGGAUAUAGUAUGCUAAACAAAAGAAGGUUUUUCUUAAAGAUGCUUAAGACCGGCACAUGCUACUGGCAGCCAAGAGGAAAUACAAUAUAACGUGUCUGCUGGGAAACUUGAAGUAGCCUCAUACUAAGCAAAAAGAGAAGUAAUCAAUCCACAUUUACAGUUCCAAUGUUGAGUAAAUCUCUGCUAGCAAACAAUGAUAUUUUCACCCCUUUCUUCACACUGCUCCUCUCUUAGGAGAAUAGCUAGCACUUAUUGAUUAUUAUCAGAGGACAUUAAAGAAAUACAGCCACAACCUCAACAGGGAACACUUGCUUGUUUUUUUCUCCAAGAGCUAGAUUCUGAAAAUACCAUAUGAGGGCUCAUUUGCAGAAUGUGUGGUUUUUUCUACCCAGGACUAUGCAGGAAGAGCCAUUUGAAGACAGCAGAUUUUGAGGCAUGAAGCAAGCUGGCUAGCAUCAGUGAAGCUGUGAUGGAGAUGGCUGCACAUGGGAGCGGUAAAUACCAUCCAUAUGCACCGCAAUUCAUCCCAGCGCAGCAAGAUGUGUCAAUGCAUGGCAGAUGUUAUGUUAAUAUGUUCAAUGUAUGCCUUGUAUCUCCACCAAGUGAGGACGCAGCAUGAAAAAAGAAAAAAGUGGCUUCAGCUUAAUAAUCAACUUGGGCAGAGGGGCAGGCAGGCAAGAUACUUAAAAACCAUUUAUAUCUUUAACCUUUAAGUCACUGAUUGCAAUGUAGACAGCAACAGGAGGGAGGAACUUAAAUCUUGGAACAUAACACAGGUAGAUGUCUUAAUCUGGAUCUGAAGUGUAAAGAAAAAAUGUGUCCCUGCAAAUCCGUGUGUUAGUACCUGGAACCCUGCUGUGGCUAUGAACCAUGCAGCAACAGCAGCAAAAAUGUUGGCACCCUAAAAAGAGCCCACUGUUAAACUUAACAGUGUACAAGCAAAUGUCAAACAGAUGGUGAAAGCACAAGGGAGCUAUGAACACCAGUAUAAGCAGUGGCCACAAGAUACCGAAACUGUCAGGUUCUUUGCUGGCACCACAGCAGAGAUGUUUUUGAGAAGAUGCGCAUAGAGGUCUUCUAAUU